rnacentral:rRNA from 1 species
AUUGAACGCUGGCGGCAGGCCUAACACAUGCAAGUCGAGCGGAUGAGUGGAGCUUGCUCCAUGAUUCAGCGGCGGACGGGUGAGUAAUGCCUAGGAAUCUGCCUGGUAGUGGGGGACAACGUUUCGAAAGGAACGCUAAUACCGCAUACGUCCUACGGGAGAAAGCAGGGGACCUUCGGGCCUUGCGCUAUCAGAUGAGCCUAGGUCGGAUUAGCUAGUUGGUGAGGUAAAGGCUCACCAAGGCGACGAUCCGUAACUGGUCUGAGAGGAUGAUCAGUCACACUGGAACUGAGACACGGUCCAGACUCCUACGGGAGGCAGCAGUGGGGAAUAUUGGACAAUGGGCGAAAGCCUGAUCCAGCCAUGCCGCGUGUGUGAAGAAGGUCUUCGGACUGUAAAGCACUUUAAGUUGGGAGGAAGGGCAGUAAGUUAAUACCUUGCUGUUUUGACGUUACCGACAGAAUAAGCACCGGCUAACUUCGUGCCAGCAGCCGCGGUAAAAC